CCUGAUAUUAGCCAACAAGACUGGAAAUUAAGAAGGAGGCAUCAUCCGGUUUCGGUGGCUCAUGCCUGUAAUCCCAGCACUUUGGGAAGCUGAGGUGGAUCACGAGGUCAGGAGAUCGAGACCAUUCUGGCUAACACGGUGAAACCCCGUUUCUACUAAAAAAACAAAAAAAUUAGCCAGGCGUGGUGGCGGGCGCCUGUAGUCCCAGCUACUCCGGAGACUGAGGCAGGAAAAUGGCGAGAACGCGGGAGGCGGAGCUUGCAGUGAGCCAAGAUGGCGCCACUCCACUCCAGCCUGGGUGAUCGAGCGAGACUCUGUAUCUAGAAAAAAGAAAAAAAAAAAGAAAAAAUGAAGAAGAAGGAGAAGGAAAAGGAGAAGACGACGACAUUGAGGCCAGCAGGUGGCCUGGAGAGGAAGAGAAAUGGAGUUAUCACAAAAAGGAAUCUAUAGUACUUGAAAACAAGCAAGAUACAGCAAGACAGAGAAAGAUGAACCUAAGAAGAAUAAGACUUUUUUGUUUUUAGUUUGGAUGACGAAGCAAAUAAUGGAACCUGUGACAGGAAAAUUGGCCAGGAAACCUGAAAAUCUCUGUAGGUUUACUGACAUUAUCUAACACUCCAUGGAUCUCUGAACCAUUGAAUACAAGACUUUUCUCACUCUCCAUGGUGCUUAUAAAAGGUAAUAUGGGCAGGGUGUGGUGGCUCAUGCCUGUAAUCCCAGCACUUUGGGAGGCCAAGGUGGGCAAAUCACCUGAGGUUGGGAGUUCGAGACCAGCCUGA
rnacentral:lncRNA from 10 species